UUAGACGGCCAUAGGGACUUGGUUCUACCCGUUCUCAUUUCGAACACGGAAGUCAAGCGAGUUUCCGUUCCUUGUUGUACUGCAUUGUGCGGGAAGCUUGGAAAGCUGUCACCU
rnacentral:rRNA from 1 species